rnacentral:lncRNA from 10 species
UCGGCCACAGGGGCAGGGAGAACGUCCGGCCGGAGCGCAGGGAAGGAAGGUUGGGUCUCUGGAGUCCGCGGGGGUGGGGGGCUCCCUCCCAGGUCUCGCCCUUCAGCUUUUCUGUUUCCCACUUCAGGGCCACACGUCCGUCGUUCCGAACCUCCAAUCACAUUGGUAACCAACAUCAUGGGUUCCCAGUGGCCCCGUUGUGGGGUCUUUUCCUCCUGGGGUCUCUGCUGGGGCUUCUCCCUCUCCUCGCUUCCGGCCAUCCCCUUCGCUGGGGAGCAGUUGGCUGCUUUUCCGCAGCCAGUGCCUUUCGCGGGUCCAGUUGAUCCUAUGAGAUGCACCAUGGAGGGGUAAAUGCAGCCUGGGCUCCUCCAGAAGCCAGGGUGCCCACUGCUGCGUGGAGAUGCUACCAAGCGUUCAAGUUGUGCGGGUUGUGGAAGAAGCUGGUGAGCCCUGGAGUCAGGCCUGGAACUCAGAACCGAGCGUGAGUCAAUCCCUCUGCUUUUCACCGGGAAAAAUCUUCCUGGCUCGAGGUCCUGGGUUCAUCACUUUCUUCAAACAAACACUCAAUCAAACACUUAGAGACUUCCGGUCUGGGUAAGAUGGCCUAAACCCGACCCUCCCUGUUCCUGUCUGCUAAGCCCUGGAAAGAAUGUAAGAGGCAACCCUAAGAGGGCCCUGAGGUGGAAGGAGCAGGAGAGCUGGUAAAG